CUGUGGUGCACUUAAUCUACAACCCAGAUAAACUAUACAUAGAUGUUUCAGAGGUGAAUGCGUUUUUAAAGGACGGUUGUGGAACUUAAAUGAUCUCUGACUCUUGCGCCUUUCCCUUUCUCCCCAGCUGCAGCUUGCUGGUUGACUGAGUGGGUAGUGAAGGUUGACCUGAGAUUCAGCAUGCCCUGAGUAGAAGGCUAGUUAACCAAAUAGGUGAGAAUUUCUUUAGGCCCGUGUCUAGUUGUGUGUGCUGUAUGUUGCUUAGUCAUGUUUGAAGCAUUUUGGAGGCUGGCUAAAAUCCCUGUCUGAUCGAGAUGUUGUUACGAGCAGUCAGCAGAGCCAUCUGCUCCAAACUAUUUGAAAAUCUUUAAAAGUGUGAUCAUGUGGAAUUUGCUAAAUCUGUACUGGAUGAGGACUAAUUUAAUAAUUAGUAAUUGAAUUACUGCCAUAAUGUAUGAUUUAGGAUUUUACCUUAUUUUGUUUGUUAAACUGGUCAGCUAUCAACUUGAGUUUUAAAGUCAGACUAAAGGAGAGAGUCAGUAGACAGAAGAGCAAAUAAGAAUGUUGUAGUAUUUCCUUCAAUACUCAAGAGAUGGGGAAACUGGACAUCUUCUAUUCCUAUAAUGAUCUGAGCACUUCCUGUCAUAAAGCAUAAUAAUGUAGUAUUAUAUAUUAUUAUAGGCAUAUAGUAAUAAUUACUAAAACCAGGAUGUGUUGGAGAAGAAUAAAAAUGUUUAUAAGUAUCUUUAAAAAAUGGCUUUCUUUCUAAAGCACCAUGAAAAUCAGCUGGAACUUAUUAGUUAAUAAAUACAAACAACUGUUUGUACUCUGUCUCCCACUUCUCUUCCAGAUACGGUUUUCCACUUGUCGUAGGGAACAUUAGCUUUAAGAGUAAUUUGCUCAUCUUUCUCCGUGCUUUCUGUGCUUGUGAGGAUUCUUUGAGAGAUUGAACAUAGAGCUGAUCACAGCAGUUAUCAUUUAUAUUAGGGGUUUCUAUCGUCUUGCCGAGUCCACUGGAAGCCUGCUCUUUCAGGUUUGGGCAAUUUUUAGUUUUUUAGAUAUUAAAUAUUUUAUACUAAAGAAUGCCUAAAAGUAAAUGGGAUUAGAAUUUUAUAAAUGAAAUAUUCUUCUAACUAUUCCAGUACGCUCUAUAUUGCUGUUUCCUCAGAAGAUACUUAAAUUUUCAAAAGCACACCUAACAAUAUGGAGGGGGAACCAAGCCAUUUUUUUACUUUGCGGAUAGGGAGAAUUACUCUGUACAAAGUAUUUUUCUGUUUCUGGACAUAGCCAUGGAAUUCUUACUAGAAAAAUAAUCUUUCUCAGAAAAGAUGGAAAAAAAAAAAAGUCAAGAUUUAGGUGUUUCUUCCUUUUUUCUUUCUUUUUUUUAACCUAAAUCUUAUUAUCACAGACUCCAGUAUAAUUCUUAUUAGCCAAUUUUCAAGCCAUGUGCCUUUUUCUUGUGCAACCUGUAACUUCUAGGUGUCGUUAUCCAUGUUUUUGAAAAGAACCUUUUGAAAAGCAAUUUUAUUUUAAAAUAUGACUCCUAAUGGUAUUUUUGGUGAGGUUUUUUUUUUUUUCUUCAGACUUUCUUUAAUGUCUUCUCAUGUUAUACAUUUAAUAUAAUGGGUGACAUUCUCUUUUUUCCACCUUUUAUGUUCUAGUCUACUUUUGUGAACAUAAAUUUCUCUGUCUGUAAAACUGGUUGUGUCAAAACGCUUUCUACCAGUCUCUUGUCUACAGUGGGAUUCUAUUACAAUCCAAGGGAUUGCUCUUUUAGGAAUCUCAUUAAAGUCUGAACAAACAAUAUGAAAUGAAAAAUCCUUCCCCAAGGCACAAAGACUACAGACAAUACUUCAUUGCAAAGCUAGCUAUGUGAGAUAAUAUUAGACAGGCGAUAAUGAAAAUAUCAGAAAGAUUUAAUAGACAAAAAAAGUGUAACAAUUAAUGCCAAGAAAGUGUCCCAUUUUCUGAAUUUAAAAAUCAGAUAUAAUUCACAGAUGAGAGAACAUAAACACGUAAAAUCUUUCAUCAUAAUGCAUUGGUCAGAGGGGGAUUUUCUCAUGGGCUCUUCAUAGAUGUACUGAAAAUCUUAUAGUAAAGACUGUAAAGAUCCUUACCAAAAAAGUACCAGAAGUUGUUUUUUAAUACCUUGUUAUUAAAGAAAAGCAGUUCAAACAAAAAACCCCAUAGGUACAUUAACAUGCAUUAAAGCUCACAUGCUAUAAAUAUUUUUAAUAAAUGUAAUUGUACUAAUUUUACUGCCUGAGACUUGGACAUACUGGAAGAAAGUCUUGCCAGUCAUUAAUCCAUGGGUAACUUCUGUUAGUUUUAAAAGUGUGUGUGUUUAAAGACAUGGACAUCUCGAAAUAGACUGGUCUGUAACUCAGUAUUUUAUCUGUAGCCAGGGCUUACAUCUUUCUUUGUUUCAAUUUGUGUUUCUGAACAUCUUUUCUUUGGUGGCUCAGCAGUUUUUACUGGAGUUCUCUUCAGAGAAGCAAAGAAAGUGCUUGAAAAUUCUUGUUCCUGAAAAGGUGAUGGGUGUAGAGAGAUGCUCCAGAGACAGUGAAAAAUAGAAGUCUUCCCUAAAUGAGACCCUUUGAAAAUUAUUGUAUUCUCUUGGUCCUGAAACUUCCAGUUGUGGCGUUCUUGACAAUUCCUAUAGUCUUCUGGGUGCCAAAGGCUGGUCCUGUUCAGAGCAGAUAGGCUUGUGAGUUGUGCAUUUUCUUUUGUGUUUAUUUUGGAUGGAAGGCUGAGCAUUUUUCUCUUUGAUACAGACCUCAUUACAAGUAUUCACUGCCUCUAUCACCUCCAUUUAGAAUCUGCUCUUGUUUCUGUAGCUGCAUAUUUGCCAUAAAGACCCCAAGGGAAAGUAAUCUAAUUUAAUAGAAACUGUCCCUGAAUUAAAGCUUGAAGAAAGAGGUAAUUAAUGUUAACAAAAUCCAUAGCUUCUAAAUAAAUACAUAUAGUAACUUGCUUUUGUGUGCUUUGGACAGUUAGGAUUUUUAUUUUGGGGUAUAGUGCUGCUUGUCCCACUAAUGGGUAAUUUCUGGGUUUACUGUAAGCUGUUAACAAAGGGUUCAUCAAUGGAAUUAACUUAUCAAAACAGGAAUGUUUAGCUAUUUGAGGAGUGCACAUUGUCAAUUAAGACAAAUAGUUAUUGGCUGGUGGAAAGCUCAUGAGCAAGUAAUCAGACGAGAUGUUCCCUGUUGAACUACCACAUAUUAUUCAUCAGAUUUCAAGUGAUGUGGAUUAGGCUGAUAAAUUGAGUUGCAUCAUUUGUACUUUACUAAGAGCACUUGCACUUUUUAAUUGUGUUUGGUUUAGGGGUGGGGGAGAACAGCUUAUUUUAAAACUCAUUUAAGUUAUUAGUAACUGAAAUGAGAAAGUAAUGUGGAAUCAAAGUCUCUACUUAACCCUGGCUGGAUGUGAUCCCCUUUGCAACGAGGAUUUGCCCCACUCACUUCAGAAGAGGUAGAUAACCUUCCGUUUUCUUUUCCAUAGGCUCUCAAGUGUAAUCCAGUUCUUGUGAAGUUGACAGAAUUGACCAGUAAAAAUUCUUGGAAUGACUCAGAUCACAGAAAUAUGGGCUGUUUCCCCAUGUACACAGAAUUAGACACUGUGGGUACACGGAGAGGCUGGCUGCAGGUAGCAUUGAGAGCGGUUGGUUGGAGUCUGGGCUGCCACUGCACAGCUGGGAAAUGCCACUUAGUCCUGGCUGCAUUUCUCUCCAUCUCCUGUAGUGCAGAGCAAGGGCUGCAGAAUAAUCAAGUAGUAGUAGUUAAUUCUUUUUCCUUUCAUAACUUAAAAAGGGCUUAUAAGAAAGAUGGGGAGAAACAUUUUAGCAGGCCCUGUUGCAAUAGAACAAGGGUUGAUGGUUUUAAACUAAAAGAGGAAGAUUUCAGGCUGGAUGUGAGGAAGAAAUUUUUACAAUGAGGGCGGUAAAACACUGGCACAGGUUGCCCGGAGAGGUGGUAGACGCACCAUCUCUGGAGACAUUCAAGGCCAGGCUGGGUGUGAUUCCGGGCAACAUGAUUUAGUUGAAGAUGUCCCUGCUCAUUGCAGGGAGGUUGGACUAGAUGAGCUUUGAAGGUCUUUUCCAACCCAAACUAUUCUAUGAUUCCAUUCCUAAUUAAUUACUUAACAGGUAGCACAACGCAAGCACUUUGGUGAAGGCAAUUCCACCGAGACAGGGGCCACAGGAAGGAUGCAAAGCAGGUGGUGACUUGCUUGAAAUCUCUGCAAAAAAGGUUUAGUUUUGUCCACCUGCUGCUGUUCACAGGGAAAAGGUGCAAGUGUAACUUUUAAAGUGCACUGUGGAGAUACAAGUUUUCAUGCCAUAUGUAUCAGUGUAAAAAUUCUAAAUUUCCACAACCAAAUACAUUCAACUGAUUUUAUAUCUUUAAAAAAAAAAAAA
rnacentral:lncRNA from 1 species